ACCGCGAUAGCUCAGCUGGUGGAGUAUCUGCCCGGUAUGCAGAGGGUCGCCGGCCCAAUUCCGGCUUGCGGUA
rnacentral:tRNA from 1 species